UUUUCUGAAGUGGACGCGAAAUAGCCUGUUCAGUGAAGAGAGAAUCAAGGUCUUCACUCUGCCUCUUGAAAGAAAGGAGCUAACCUGUCGCCUAGCAACACCUCCCACUCCUGCCAAGCCAGAGGAAGAGAAGAGAGGAAGAGGAAGGACUGAAGCUGUCUAUGAAACUGAUGAGAGAGACAGAGGUAAAGA